GGGAUUUUCAGUGGAAACCAGAUUCAGAGUCUAUAUGUGCCACUGACUUUUUAUCAGAUAAUUAUUUGUUGGAUUUUUAAAAAAUGAACGUACUUAUAAAGUCCUUAUGUUAUUUAAAAAUGUUUAAUGACAGCCAAUGUAUUGAGUUAAGAACCAUUAAAUAAAUACAUUCUCUGUUAGCAGGCUGGAAAGCCAGGCUAAAGAUUAUACACACAUCUGCUGCCAUCCAUCAUGCCUUAAUGCCAGUUAACCAUCACUUCUGGGCUGGAGUUAAUCAAGCCGGGCUCUCUCACCAGGUCCUAGUCAUGGUAGUUUACCACAUGGUAUUUGGACAAGUUAGAGGGAGAACAAGUAAUGGAAACACCCUUCUUCAGCAAAGCUUCUUGGAAACAGAAUUGGGAUAAGCAGAUGGUGAAUGUCACACUGGAUCAGCUGCAAUGGAUAGACACCAUGGGAGAGUCUCAAUGGACCCUCUGUUGUCCACCCUUGGCAUUAGGUAGUGACUCAGAUCUAACUUAGGCUGCUUUUAUGUAGCAACUACUGAACACUGCUAUUGCUUUUGAUGAAAAGAGCCCUGUGGAUUGUUUUUGAUCUGCAUAUUAACAAAGAAGAAAAAGACAGCCAGGUUAUUUCUUAGGAGCAGCAAGAAAGAUUUUCCCUUAAAGAUGUGCAAGACACAUCUCUGCUGGAACGUGCGCGCGCGCACACACACACACACACACACACAAUGAAACAAAAUGAAACAAAACAAAAUAAAACAAAUGCAAAACCCUUU